AGAACGAACGCUGGCGGCAGGCUUAACACAUGCAAGUCGAACGCUCGUAGCAAUACGGGAGUGGCAGACGGGUGAGUAACGCGUGGGAACAUACCCUCCGGUUCGGAAUAGCUCAGGGAAACUUGGAUUAAUACCGGAUACGGCCGAGAGGCGAAAGAUUUAUCGCCGGAGGAUUGGCCCGCGUUCGAUUAGCUAGUUGGUGAGGUAACGGCUCACCAAGGCGAUGAUCGAUAGCUGGUCUGAGAGGAUGAUCAGCCACAUUGGGACUGAGACACGGCCCAAACUCCUACGGGAGGCAGCAGUGGGAAUAUUGGACAAUGGGCGCAAGCCUGAUCCAGCCAUGCCGCGUGAGUGAUGACGGCCUUAGGGUUGUAAAGCUCUUUCGCUCGGGACGAUAAUGACGGUACCGAGAUAAGACGCCCCGGCUAACUUCGCGCCAGCAGCCGC
rnacentral:rRNA from 1 species